rnacentral:tRNA from 1 species
UAGCUCAGCUGGUUAGAGCACAUCACUCAUAAUGAUGGGGUCACAGGUUCAAAUCC